UCAAGUUAUUAAGGGUGCAGGGCGGAUGCCUUGGCACUAGGAGCCGAUGAAGGACGUGAUAAGCUGCGAUAAGCUUCGGGGAGUUGCACGUAAACUUUGAUCCGAAGAUUUCCGAAUGAGGAAACUCACUUAGAGUAAUGUCUAAGUAUCAUUAAGUGAAUACAUAGCUUAAUGAGGGGAACUCAGGGAACUGAAACAUCUAAGUACCUGAAGGAAGAGAAAGAAAUUCGAUUCCGUAAGUAGCGGCGAGCGAACGCGGAUUAGCCCAAACCAAUAAAGUUUUCUUUAUUGGGGUUGCGGACAUAUCAUAACGAAGAGGUAUCGUAAUUGAAGAGGUUUGGAAAGACCCACCACAGAAGGUAAUAGUCCUGUAUGUUAAACGAGAAGAUUUCAGAUAUGAUCCAGAGUACCACGGGACACGUGAAACCCUGUGGGAAGCAGGAGGGACCACCCUCCAAGGCUAAAUACUACCUAGUGACCGAUAGCGUAUAGUACCGUGAGGGAAAGGUGAAAAGAACCCCGGGAGGGGAGUGAAAUAGAACCUGAAACCCUGCACUUACAAGCUGUGGAAGCACAUUUCUUGUGUGACCGCGUACUUUUUGUAGAACGGGCCAACGAGUUACGUUAAGUAGCAAGGUUAAGCACUUAAGGUGCGGAGCCGUAGCGAAAGCGAGUUUUAACUGAGCGUUCAGUUACUUGACGUAGACCCGAAACCGGGCGACCUACCCAUGAGCAGGAUGAAGCGAAAGUAAAAUUUCGUGGAGGUCCGAACCCACGAGCGUUGAAAAGCUCGGGGAUGACUUGUGGAUAGCGGUGAAAUUCCAAUCGAGCCCGGAGAUAGCUGGUUCUCCCCGAAAUAGCUUUAGGGCUAGCCUCAAGGUGAGAGAUACGGAGGUAGAGCACUGAAUGUCCUAGGGGGUAUUGCACCUACCGAAGACUAUCAAACUCCGAAUGCCGUCAUCUUAUACUUGGGAGUCAGACUGUGGGUGAUAAGAUUCAUAGUCGAAAGGGCAACAGCCCAGAUCGUCAGCUAAGGUCCCUAAAUGUAAGUUAAGUGGUAAAGGAUGUGGGAUUGCACAGACAACCAGGAUGUUGGCUUAGAAGCAGCCACUCAUUCAAAGAGUGCGUAAUAGCUCACUGGUCGAGUGAUCCUGCGCCGAAGAUUUCCGGGGCUAAAACUUACUACCGAAGCUACGGCAUCAGUAAUGAUGGGUAGGGGAGCUUCCCAUACGGGUUGAAGCGUGACCGUAAGGACAUGUGGACAGUAUGGGAGUGAGAAUGUUGGCAUGAGUAGCGAGAUGUGGGUGAGAAUCCCACAGGCCGUAAACCCAAGGUUUCCAGGGGAAGGUUCGUCCGCCCUGGGUUAGUCGGGACCUAAGCUGAGGCCGAAAGGCGUAGGUGAUGGACAACAGGUUGAUAUUCCUGUACUACCGAUAACCGUUUGAGAGAAGGGAUGACACAGUAGGAUAAGCUAAGCACACUGUUGGUUAUGUGUGCCCAAGCAUUGAGGCAGUCAAAGUAGGCAAAUCCGCUUUGAUAAUGCUGGGAUGUGAUGGGGAGCGAAAUUUAGUAGCGAAGUAGCUGAUUUCACACUGUCAAGAAAAGUCUCUAUCGAGGUUAAAGGUACCCGUACCGCAAACCGACACAGGUGGGUGAGGAGAGUAUCCUAAGGCCAGCGAGAGAACUGUUGUUAAGGAACUCGGCAAAAUGACCCCGUAACUUAGGGAUAAGGGGUGCCACCAUCAGGUGGCCGCAGAGAAUAGGCCCAAGCGACUGUUUACCAAAAACAUAGGUUUCUGCUAAGUCGCAAGACGAUGUAUAGGAGCUGACGCCUGCCCGGUGCUGGAAGGUUAAGGGGAUCUGUUAGAGCAAUCGAAGCAGUGAACUUAAGCCCCAGUAAACGGCGGCCGUAACUAUAACGGUCCUAAGGUAGCGAAAUUCCUUGUCGGGUAAGUUCCGACCCGCACGAAAGGCGUAACGAUUUGGGCACUGUCUCAACAACAGACUCGGUGAAAUUGUAAUUCCGGUGAAGAUGCCGGAUACCUGCGACAGGACGGAAAGACCCCAUGGAGCUUUACUGUAGCUUGACAUUGGGUCUUGGUACUACAUGUACAGGAUAGGUGGGAGGCUUUGAAACCAGGACGCCAGUUUUGGCGGAGCCAUCCUUGGGAUACCACCCUUGUAGUACUGGGACUCUAACCAUAGGCCAUGAAUCUGGUCUUGGGACACUGUCAGGUGGGCAGUUUGACUGGGGCGGUCGCCUCCCAAAAGGUAACGGAGGCGCUCAAAGGUUCUCUCAGUACGGUCGGAAAUCGUACGUAGAGUGUAAAGGCAAAAGAGAGCUUGAUUGCAAGACAUACAGGUCGAGCAAGGAUGAAAAUCGGACUUAGUGAUCCGGUGGUUCUGCGUGGAAGGGCCAUCGCUCAACGGAUAAAAGCUACCCUGGGGAUAACAGGCUUAUCUCCCCCAAGAGUCCACAUCGACGGGGAGGUUUGGCACCUCGAUGUCGGCUCAUCACAUCCUGGGGCUGUAGUAGGUCCCAAGGGUUGGGCUGUUCGCCCAUUAAAGUGGUACGCGAGCUGGGUUCAGAACGUCGUGAGACAGUUCGGUCCCUAUCCGUCGCAGGCGUAGGAAAUUUGAGAAGACCUGUCCUUAGUACGAGAGGACCGGGAUGGACGUACCUCUGGUGUACCAGUUGUUCUGCCAAGGGCAUGGCUGGGUAGCUAUGUACGGCAUGGAUAAGCGCUGAAAGCAUCUAAGCGCGAAGCCAACUUCAAGAUAAGAUUUCCCACCGCAAGGGUAAGACCCCAGAAAGACUAUCUGGUUGAUAGGUCGAAGGUGUAAGUGCAGCAAUGUAUUUAGCUUAUCGAUACUAAUAGGUCGAGGACUUGACCAA
rnacentral:rRNA from 1 species